GAUGAACGCUGGCGGCGUGCCUAAUACAUGCAAGUCGAGCCAACAGAUGAGGAGCUUGCUCCUCUGACGUUAGCGGCGGACGGGUGAGUAACACGUGGAUAACCUACCUAUAAGACUGGGAUAACUUCGGGAAACCGGAGCUAAUACCGGAUAAUAUAUUGAACCGCAUGGUUCAAUAGUGAAAGACGGUUUUGCUGUCACUUAUAGAUGGAUCCGCGCCGCAUUAGCUAGUUGGUAAGGUAACGGCUUACCAAGGCAACGAUGCGUAGCCGACCUGAGAGGGUGAUCGGCCACACUGGAACUGAGACACGGUCCAGACUCCUACGGGAGGCAGCAGUAGGGAAUCUUCCGCAAAGGGCGAAAGCCUGACGGAGCAACGCCGCGUGAGUGAUGAAGGUCUUCGGAUCGUAAAACUCUGUUAUUAGGGAAGAACAAAUGUGUAAGUAACUAUGCACGUCUUGACGGUACCUAAUCAGAAAGCCACGGCUAACUACGUG
rnacentral:rRNA from 1 species